GACGAACGCUGGCGGCGUGCCUAAUACAUGCAAGUAGAACGCUGAAGGAGGAGCUUGCUCUUCUGGAUGAGUUGCGAACGGGUGAGUAACGCGUAGGUAACCUGCCUGGUAGCGGGGGAUAACUAUUGGAAACGAUAGCUAAUACCGCAUAAGAGUAGAUGUUGCAUGACAUUUGCUUAAAAGGUGCAAUUGCAUCACUACCAGAUGGACCUGCGUUGUAUUAGCUAGUUGGUGGGGUAACGGCUCACCAAGGCGACGAUACAUAGCCGACCUGAGAGGGUGAUCGGCCACACUGGGACUGAGACACGGCCCAGACUCCUACGGGAGGCAGCAGUAGGGAAGCUUCGGCAAUGGACGGAAGUCUGACCGAGCAACGCCGCGUGAGUGAAGAAGGUUGUCGGAUCGUAAAGCUCUGUUGUAAGAGAAGAACGAGUGUGAGAGUGGAAAGUUCACACUGUGACGGUAUCUUACCAGAAAGGGACGGCUAACUACGUG
rnacentral:rRNA from 1 species